CAACAGUGUGCUACUAAUCAGCCU
rnacentral:siRNA from 1 species